rnacentral:lncRNA from 1 species
AGGAUUCUUAUCCAGCUGAAUUACGGAUUUAAAGCGGGGAGAGGAGAGCGUUUGUUCCCUGGACAUCAUUUGAAGUCAUGCCCGUUCCAGAACAGCCUGCUGAAGUAGAGAACGCCACCAUGCUCAGUCCAGGACUGAAUGCUUCUAAUGGCGACGGAUCUGAGACUGAAACCACCUCUGCCAUUCUGGCCUCUGUGAAAGAGCAGCUGUUGGCUUUCACUUAAGACAUACUGUGUUUAAGAGGAUACUUGCAAAGACGAGGAUACGAGG